ACUCAACACCGGCAAUCACAUCAGCCAUGGUACCAGAUCCACUGGAACGGAGAACCUUGACAGCAACGAUUUCAGCCUUCUUUGCAACACCAUAAGCACGGCUAGCAAUGGUACCAGCAACAUGCGUACCAUGACCAUUGUUAUCCUCAUCAACAUCACCAGAGGGAAUGGUUGCACCCCAAGAAGCGCGACCUUCGAACUCAACAUGAUGAAUGCUUACACCGGUAUCUACAACAUAAGCGGUGAUGUUGUCACCAGCGCUGGAA